GACGAACGCUGGCGGCGUGCUUAACACAUGCAAGUCGAACGGAAAGGCCUUUUCGGAGGUACUCGAGUGGCGAACGGGUGAGUAACACGUGGGUGAUCUGCCCUGCACUCUGGGAUAAGCCUGGGAAACUGGGUCUAAUACCGGAUAGGACCGCACUUUAGUGUGUGUGGUGGAAAGUUUUUUCGGUGUAGGAUGAGCCCGCGGCCUAUCAGCUUGUUGGUGGGGUAAUGGCCUACCAAGGCGGCGACGGGUAGCCGGACUGAGAGGUUGGUCGGCCACAUUGGGACUGAGAUACGGCCCAGACUCCUACGGGAGGCAGCAGUGGGGAAUAUUGCACAAUGGGCGCAAGCCUGAUGCAGCGACGCCGCGUGGGGGAUGACGGCCUUCGGGUUGUAAACUCCUUUCGCCAGGGACGAAGCGUUUUGUGACGGUACCUGGAGAAGAAGCACCGGCUAACUACGUGCCAGCAGCCGCGGUAAUACGUACGGUGCAAGCGUUGUCCGGAAUUACUGGGCGUAAAGAGCUCGUAGGUGGUUUGUCACGUCGUCUGUGAAAUUCCACAGCUUAACUGUGGGCGUGCAGGCGAUACGGGCUGACUUGAGUACUGUAGGGGUAACUGGAAUUCCUGGUGUAGCGGUGAAAUGCGCAGAUAUCAGGAGGAACACCGAUGGCGAAGGCAGGUUACUGGGCAGUUACUGACGCUGAGGAGCGAAAGCAUGGGUAGCAAACAGG
rnacentral:rRNA from 1 species